GGAUUUGCUGAAGACUAACUWCUGSGAAAGCAUUCGCCAAGGAUGUUUUCAUUAAUCAGGGAACGAAAGUUAGGGGKUCGAAGACGAUCAGAUACCGUCGUAGUCUUAACCAUAAACUAUGCCGACUAGGGAUCGGGCGGUGUUUCUAUGAUGACCCGCUCGGCACCUUACGUGUUAUCAAAGUUUUUGGGUUCUGGGGGGAGUAUGGUCGCAAGGCUGAAACUAAAGAAAUGACGCAUGGMAMCAUMCKRWGGC
rnacentral:rRNA from 1 species